UACGGAGGGUGCAAGCGUUAUCCGGAUUCACUGGGUUUAAAGGGUGCGUAGGUGGGCAGGUAAGUCAGUGGUGAAAUCUCCGGGCUUAACCCGGAAACUGCCAUUGAUACUAUCUGUCUUGAAUACCGUGGAGGUGAGCGGAAUAUGUCAUGUAGCGGUGAAAUGCUUAGAUAUGACAUAGAACACCGAUUGCGAAGGCAGCUGGCUACAGGGAUAUUGACACUGAGGCACGAAAGCGUGGGGAUCAAACAGG
rnacentral:rRNA from 1 species